AUUGAACGCUGGCGGCAGGCCUAACACAUGCAAGUCGAACGAGUGGCGGACGGGUGAGUAAUGUAUGGGAAACUGCCUGAUGGAGGGGUGUAACUACUGGAAACGGUAGCUAAUAACGCAUACCAUCGGAUGUGCCCAGAUGGGAUUAGGUAGUAGGUGGGGUAAAGGCUCACCUAGGCGACGAUCCCUAGCUGGUCUUAGAGGAUGAACAGCCACACUGGAACUGAGACACGGCCCAGACUCCUACGGGAGGCAGCAGUGGGGAAUAUUGCACAAUGGGCGCAAGCCUGAUGCAGCCAUGCCGCGUGUAUGAAGAAGGCCUUCGGGUUGUAAAGUACUUUCAGCGGGGAGGCGUUACCCGCAGAAGAAGCACCGGCUAACUCCGUGCCAGCAGCCGCGGUAAUAC
rnacentral:rRNA from 1 species